rnacentral:lncRNA from 1 species
AUGGAGGGAAUGACUAAGUCAGCCUGCAGCCACUUCAAAAUGCUCUGUGCCAUCCGGACCCGACUCCUGUACCUCCUGCAAACCACAGGGUUGAAUUUUCCCUGUCUUCCUGGCUGCUCAUGGGUGAAUGCUCAUGGCUGUGCUGGCUGGGUGCUCUGUGCAGAGGGGGAAGGUGGUUUGCAAGGGCACAACAUUUUUUCCUCUCUCAUCUUUUUUCUCUCCUUUUUGUCAGUUAGUGUGUUCUUGGGAGAAAUAAAUGCUUUACGGCUGGCUGAAGUGGUUAAUGUUGGCCUGCCAAUUUAAAAGUCAGCCUCAGUUUAUUGAAAUGAAAGAAAGGAAUUGAACUUCAGCUCUCCCAGAGAAUCAUUCUUCUCAUAUCCCGAGCACACAUUAGCUCUGGAUCUCUGUGGAAUACAAUAGGAGAGAGGUUAUUGAAUUGAAGUUUCAAGCACAGAAGCAGAUCUCUGGCCAAUUACGUUGUUGCUGGGGUUGAAAUUGGACUAGUCAAAAAAAAAAAAGGAUAUCAAACUGCAAACCCAAGCAAUGCAGAAUCAAACAUCUUCUGAGAUGAAAUGCUUCUCCGUCUGGAAAGGUGAGGGAACCGAUGCCGCGUUUUUUGUCUUUAAUAUCUGUCUGUUCUUCCUGCCUUGCUUCCUGACUUUGUCUUCUUUUUGUGCCAUAAUCUCUAUUGUGUGGCUGCUUAGAAUUCAGUGAUAACGCCGAGUGUUUGAUGUCGCUGGGAGAACUUCAGAGUGCUUCUGCCUUGUAAUUACCAGGCUUGCUGAGGGGCAGCUGGGCAGCAUAUAUAGCUGCUCAGCACACGUGCUGCUUCUGGAUCUCGUGAGGUCAGCCCCAGGCAGCUGCCAGCACAGGCCAGAGGAGGACAGGCAGCACGUCAAAGAUCCCAUUCACUGCAGUGAGACCAAGCUUCGAUCCUGAGUUGGAGAUGACUCUGUCACACUCCCAUUCCUGUUGGGAUUUAUGAUCUAUUCUUCAUAUGAGAUGUCGAGCCAUGAUUUGCUUCAAAUAUUCAACUCGGUGACAAGUUUUACUACAUUUGCUUCCCUUCGCGCCGUACCUUUCCCCAGGCAUCCUGUGCACCUCUACGCCAGACACACGUGUGCCAUCUGGGAGGCAGCCCGUAGGUGGCCGUGGAACCCACACGUAUAGCGAUCAGCUUCAAGAUGCCUGCAUUAAUCAUCAGAUUGACUCCCUUGUGUUGCGUUUGGGAAGAAAGUCUGAAUUGCUUAAUUUGUCUAAUUAUUUACAGUCCUAUUUAUAUCAAGUUUUCUGACACAAAUUGUUUCUUCUGAUGCAAAGUAAAUGACUCAGUUUUUACAGACCUUUGAGUAGGGUGCCAUCUGCGUUUCUGUUAUCUCAGGAAAUUUUCAUUUUGCUAUUCCAUUCACACACCACCACAAAUGUGAAUUAUGUGAUGCAAAAAGCCACCAUUGGGUCAAAAGUACCAAGAUACAGGCAACCUCAAUAUGCUGAGAUAAAAUGUUCUUGGGGAAAAGAAAAAAAAAAAAAGACUUCAAUGACUUGCAGAAAUGUCUGUAGCUUCAGAGAGUGUUUCUGCUCUUUGUGUCAGACAAUGGAGAAUUCAGAGUAAGUUGUCUGGAGGUUGUGUUUGUUCAUUCAAAUGAGAAAUGAGAUUGUGUCGCUCUAGUUUAUACAUUGAUUGAAAAAAGUAAUUUCAAGGUUCUCAGAACAUUAACUGCUUUUGGACGUGCUAAGUGCUGAGGACCCAAUGUUCACACUACAGACACUUCAAGGAGGUUUACUUUCUUCUAGCUCUAUCUUCUCCUGGACUGAAAGGCCAUCAGCAGUUGAAGCCCACCUUCUGGUUUAGCUUCACCCAUAGGGAGAGCAGUUUGCUUGGUUCAGUAUCGUUCAGUGAUGUAAAUAAAAACAAGGUGAAGUAGAGCCCAUCAGGAGACUGCUUCCAAAGCAGCCCCUGUUCCUCUAAUGCAUCCAGGUAUCGCUAGUGAUGACAACUGGAAGAAAAUUUUCUGUCAAAAUCAUUUAUUCGUGCAACACAGGAAUUCACAUGAAAUUAAAUGAUUUAGUGAAAGUCUCUCCUUUCCACAGAGGCUCUUUUCUGUCAAAAAAAAAUCAACUUAUACUGAAUAUACUGAGAGGACUCAACCCCUGCCUUUCCUGGCAGCCCCAGCCCAGGACAUC